CCUACGGGAGACAGCAGUGAGGAAUAUUGGUCAAUGGGCGUAAGCCUGAACCAGCCAAGUCGCGUGAGGGAUGAAGGUUCUAUGGAUCGUAAACCUCUUUUAUAAGGGAAUGAAGUGCGGGACGUGUCCCGUUUUGUAUGUACCUUAUGAAUAAGGAUCGGCUAACUCCGUGCCAGCAGCCGCGGUAAUACGGAGGAGCCGAGCGUUAUCCGGAUUUAUUGGGGUUAAAGGGUGCGUAGGCGGCCUUUUAAGGCAGCGGUGAAAGUCUGUGGCUCAACCAUAGAAUUGCCGUUUAAACUGGGAGGCUUGUGUAUGUUUGAGGCCGGCGGACUGCGUGGUGUAGCGG
rnacentral:rRNA from 1 species